UGCAUGCUGCCACACUGAGUGGGAAACUAGCUAGGACCCAAGGUCAUGGCCAUGUUGUCCCAUGCUCAGCUCCUCAGCCUCUUCCUCCUCUGGAUCUCUGACUCCAGGGCAGAAACAACUGUCACCCAGUCUCCAGAAUUCCUUUCCAUGGCCAUAGGAGAAAAAGUCAGCAUCACUUGCAGAACCAGCACAGAUAUUGGUGAUGAUAUGAACUGGUACCAGCAUAAGACAGGGGAAGCUCCUAAGCUCAUGUUUUCAGAAGGCAAUACCCGUAUUUCUGGAGUUCCACCCCGGUUCACCAGCAGUGGCUACGGAACAGAUUUCACCAUGGCAAUUGAUGGCGUGCAGUCUGAGGAUGCUGGAAUUUACUUCUGUCUGCAAAGCGAUAAUUACCUCUCACAGUGACAUAUCCUCUUACAG